rnacentral:tRNA from 1 species
GCCCCGGUAGCUCAGCUGGAUAGAGCAUCGGAUUUCUAAUCCGGGGGCCACAGGUUCGAGUCCUGUCCGGGGUA